rnacentral:rRNA from 1 species
AUUGAACGCUGGCGGCAGGCCUUACACAUGCAAGUCGAACGAGUGGCGGACGGGUGAGUAAUGUCUGGGAAAGUGCCUGAUAGUGGGGGAUAACUACUGGAAAGGUUAGCUAAUACCGCAUACUAUUGGAUGUGCCCAUAUCGGAUUAGCUAGUUGGUGGGGUAACGGCUCACCUAGGCGACGAUCCCUAGCUGGUCUGAGAGGAUGAUCGGCCACACUGUAACUGAGACACGGCCCAGACUCCUACGGGAGGCAGCAGUGGGGAAUUUUGGACAAUGGGCGAAAGCCUGAUGCAGCCAUGCCGCGGGUAUGAAGAAGGCCUUCGGGUUGUAAAGUACUUUUGGUAGGGAAGCGGUACCCGAAGAAUAAGCACCGGCUAACUCCGUGCCAGCCGCCGCGGUAAUUC